rnacentral:rRNA from 1 species
AAUAGAUACCCCGGGUAGUCCACGCCGUAAACGAUGAGUGCUAAGUGUUAGAGGGUUUCCGCCCUUUAGUGCUGCAGCUAACGCAUUAAGCACUCCGCCUGGGGAGUACGGCCGCAAGGCUGAAACUCAAAGGAAUUGACGGGGGCCCGCACAAGCGGUGGAGCAUGUGGUUUAAUUCGAAGCAACGCGAAGAACCUUACCAGGUCUUGACAUCCUCUGCCAACCCUAGAGAUAGGGCGUUCCCCUUCGGGGGACGAGAGUGACAGGUGGUGCAUGGUUGUCGUCAGCUCGUGUCGUGAGAUGUUGGGUUAAGUCCCGCAACGAGCGCAACCCUUGAUCUUAGUUGCCAGCAUUCAGUUGGGCACUCUAAGGUGACUGCCGGUGACAAACCGGAGGAAGGUGGGGAUGACGUCAAAUCAUCAUGCCCCUUAUGACCUGGGCUACACACGUGCUACAAUGGAUGGUACAAAGAGCUGCGAACCCGCGAGGGUAAGCGAAUCUCAUAAAGCCAUUCUCAGUUCGGA